UUUUUUUUUUUUUUUUUUUUUUUUGCUUUGAGUUUGUUUAUAUAGUGGAUUACCUUGAUGGAUUUCCAUGUAUUGAAUCAUCCCUGCAUCCCUGGGAUGAAGCCUACUUGAUCAUGAUGAAGGAUUGUUUUAAUGUGUUAUUGGAAUUGUUUUGCAAGAAUGUUAUUGAGUAUUUUUGCAUCGAUAUUCAUAAGGAAAAUUGUUCUGAAGUUCUCUUUCUUUGUUGGGUCUUUGUGUGGUUUAGGUAUCAGAGUAAUUGUGGUUUCAUAGAAUGAAUUGGAACAUAGUUCCUAGAUGGUUUUGUUCAAUUCCUUUACCUGUUGGGUUGUGUUUUCCUGUAAUUCUUUACAGGAUUUUUGUGUUUCCUCUUUAAGGACUUCUACCUGUUUACCUGGGUUCUUCUGUAUUUCUUUAAAGUGGUUAUUUAUGUACUCCUUAAAGUCCUCUAUCAGCAUCAUGAGAUGUGAUUUUAAAACCACAUCUUGUUUUUCCAGUCUGUUGGAGUAUCCAGGACUUGCCGUGUUGGGAGAACUGGCUUCUGAUGAUGCCAAGUAGCCCUAGUUUCUGUUGGUAAGAUUUGCCUUUGCCAUAUGGUUAUCUCUUGUGUAAGAUGGUUUUGCUAUCUCUGGCUGGAGCUUGUCCAUUCUGUGGGUCUGUAAGACUUUGUCAGCAUUCCUGGGAAACCAGCUCUCUCCUGGAUGAACUUGUAUACAGAGAGCUCUGGAACAGCCCAAGCUCUGGGUGCAGAUGCUGACUGGAAGGAUCCUUCCCCAGCUGCUCCACUGUUCCUGUGUUCCCUGUGCUCCUUGUUUGUCCCACUCAAGUUACUAGAGAGAAAGUGGCUCUCUAACCUCCGAACCUGGGAGUAAAAGUGCUGCUUGGAGAACAACUCUCUCCUGUCAGGACCUGUGCACAGCAGGCUAUGGAACAGCCUCAGCUCCCGAAUGCAGAUGGUGGACCCAAAUCAAAACUGUUUUUAUACAUGCUAUCAAACCCAAACUAUGGAGCCGUAAUUUGAAAAAUCACCUCCUGAAAUACAAAUUCUUCAGUAUAUAUUUGUGAAUGGGAGUGGAAUCAAAUAAAUAACAAUUCCUCACCUAAGCAGUAGCUGAUAGUAUUCUAAAUUUCCAAUGCCUUAUACAAGUUACCGUUUUCUCCGUGACAGAAGGCAUAGUAUCAUUUUUUGCUUGAAAGAAAUACCAUUUAACACAAGUAGAAUUGUCAAAGAAUGCCAUGUGCUGAGAGGAAAAUGACAAACUAGAAAGGGAUGAACUACUCAGAAAGUGACUUGCCAACAGCCCAGAGUAACAGAAGCUACGUAAGAAGAGACAUGGGAAAAAUAGGUGAAAGAGUCAGAGAAGCACAGUCAUUGCAUGCUACAUUGACACAGAGAUGUCUUUACAAUAUUUUUUAUUGGACAUUUUAUUUAUUUACAUUUCAAUGGUUUCCCCUUUCCUGAUUUCCCCCCUGGAAACCCCUUAUCACAUUCGUCCUCCCCCUGCUUCUAUGAGGGUGUUCCCCCACCCACCCAACCACUCCUGUCUCCUCACCUUUCAUUCCCCUGGACAUUGAGCUUUCCCAAGACCUCUCCUCCCAUUGAUGUCCUUUGAUAUUACAUAUGUGGCUGGAGCUCUUUGCAUGGUGGUUUAGUCCAUAGAAAUUCUAGAGGGUCUGGUUUGUUGAUAUUGUGGUUCCUCCUAUGAGGUUGGAAACCCCUUCAGCUCCUUCUAACUUCUCUACUGGUGACCCCAAGCUCAGUCCAAUGGUUGGUUGCAAGCAUUUGCCUCUAUAUUUGUCAGGCUCUGGUAGAGCCUCUCAGGAGACAGCUAUUAUCAGGCUCCUAUCAGUAAGCACUUCUUGACCUCUGUAGCAGUGACUGGGUUUGGUGUCUGUAUAUGGGAUGGAUACUCAGGUGGCACUACUUAGUAUUAGAAGUUAAUAUUGGUCAGCUUCUAAGUAAGUACUUCAGUUUUAUCAGAUUGUUUAGCUUUUAUAUUUACCAUUACUUUAUCUUCAUGGUAUUGUGAUAUAUAAUGAUAUUGAUAUUACAUCUAUCAAAUUUCAGUGCUUAAAUGUAUACUGUAAAAAGUGUCAACACAAAAAUGUUGUUUCAUAUAUGUGGAAUGUAAUUCUGAAAUCUCAAAAAUCUAUUGUAUAUAAAAUUUAGAACUCUGAAGAUAGAGGAAUAAUAAUUUCCUUGAAAUUAAGUAGCUUUUGAAUUGAAAGAAUGUUAAAAAUAUGUUACUACAUGCAGUCUACUCUGAUAUUACUUCCUCCCAGAGCAAAUCCAAUCUAACAAUAUAACUACCAAGC
rnacentral:lncRNA from 1 species